GCGACCCCAGGUCAGGCGGGAUCACCCGCUGA
rnacentral:rRNA from 1 species